UACGGAGGGUGCAAACGUUGCUCGGAAUCAUUGGGCGUAAAGCGCGCGUAGGCGGCGAGACAAGUUGAAUGUGAAAGCCCUGGGCUCAACCCAGGAAGUGCAUCCAAAACUGUCUUGCUUGAAUCUCGGAGAGGGUCAGGGUAUUCCCGGUGUAGAGGUGAAAUUCGUAGAUAUCGGGAGGAACACCAGUGGCGAAGGCGCUGACCUGGACGAUGAUUGACGCUGAGGCGCGAAAGCGUGGGGAGCAAACAGG
rnacentral:rRNA from 1 species